UAAUGACUAACAUUUGUCCCCUUCUCCGAUUAAUGAUACCAGUUAUAUAAUCAUUAUUAAAAGUAAUAAGACCGGUCUGUUUACAUUGAUAUGCAACCUUAACUGUGCACAUUUCUGCGUUAUAAGAUCUAACAAUUUUCUGUGAACCUUUAAACAAACAUAAUGCAUCGGUUUCAUUAGCUGUGGACACAUUUCAUAUGGGUAACUGGUACUUAUAAGGGUUACUAUUUGUCCAAUUCAUCCAAAUGCGUUCAGUGAAUGAAUGAUUGCAUAUUACAUGCUGAUAGAAAGGUGGUGGAAAAGGGUUCUUGAGGGGGCAUGUGUGACGAAUGCUAGAUGAGGGGCUAAGGCCUAAUUGGGCUGGGGGUAUUGAAGAAUUGUUCAUCAUGUCAGAGUCUUUUUUCCAGAAACAAACAGGUUUCAAACUUGCCAUUGACUUGUACUCAUAAUGGCAUUCAAGGAACAAUAUCAGAGGGAGCAUAACAACUCCAGAAAGCAUAGCGCACAACAUAAUCUUGGUCUCAGGUACGUAUGAUCCUCUCAAUCUACGAUAUGGUGUAAAAGCCAUGAUGCUUCGCUGAGGAGAAAUUCUUCUGUUUCGGAGCGAGGAGUGGUGUUGUCUUCCUUGGUUCCCCUCUUUGG